GUGCCAGCCGCCGCGGUAAUACAGAGACUGCAAGCGUUAUUCGGAUUCACUGGGCGUAAAGGGUGCGCAGGCGGUUGGGUGUGUCAGAUGUGAAAUCCCGAGGCUCAACCUCGGAACUGCGUCUGAAACUACUCGACUAGAGUACUGGAGAGGGUAACGGAAUUCACGGUGUAGCAGUGAAAUGCGUAGAUAUCGUGAGGAACACCAGAGGCGAAGGCGGUUACCUGGACAGUUACUGACGCUCAGGCACGAAAGCAUGGGGAGCAAAAGGGAUUAGAUACCCCUGUAGUCC
rnacentral:rRNA from 1 species